GGGUUGUGAGGUUAAGCGACUAAGCGUACACGGUGGAUGCCCUGGCAGUCAGAGGCGAUGAAGGACGUGCUAAUCUGCGAUAAGCGUCGGUAAGGUGAUAUGAACCGUUAUAACCGGCGAUUUCCGAAUGGGGAAACCCAGUGUGAUUCGUCACACUAUCAUUAACUGAAUCCAUAGGUUAAUGAGGCGAACCGGGGGAACUGAAACAUCUAAGUACCCCGAGGAAAAGAAAUCAACCGAGAUUCCCCCAGUAGCGGCGAGCGAACGGGGAGCAGCCCAGAGCCUGAAUCAGUGUGUGUGUUAGUGGAAGCGUCUGGAAAGGCGCGCGAUACAGGGUGACAGCCCCGUACACAAAAAUGCACAUGCUGUGAGCUCGAUGAGUAGGGCGGGACACGUGGUAUCCUGUCUGAAUAUGGGGGGACCAUCCUCCAAGGCUAAAUACUCCUGACUGACCGAUAGUGAACCAGUACCGUGAGGGAAAGGCGAAAAGAACCCCGGCGAGGGGAGUGAAAAAGAACCUGAAACCGUGUACGUACAAGCAGUGGGAGCACAGAGCAAUCUGUGUGACUGCGUACCUUUUGUAUAAUGGGUCAGCGACUUAUAUUCUGUAGCAAGGUUAACCGAAUAGGGGAGCCGAAGGGAAACCGAGUCUUAACUGGGCGUUAAGUUGCAGGGUAUAGACCCGAAACCCGGUGAUCUAGCCAUGGGCAGGUUGAAGGUUGGGUAACACUAACUGGAGGACCGAACCGACUAAUGUUGAAAAAUUAGCGGAUGACUUGUGGCUGGGGGUGAAAGGCCAAUCAAACCGGGAGAUAGCUGGUUCUCCCCGAAAGCUAUUUAGGUAGCGCCUCGUGAAUUCAUCUCCGGGGGUAGAGCACUGUUUCGGCAAGGGGGUCAUCCCGACUUACCAACCCGAUGCAAACUGCGAAUACCGGAGAAUGUUAUCACGGGAGACACACGGCGGGUGCUAACGUCCGUCGUGAAGAGGGAAACAACCCAGACCGCCAGCUAAGGUCCCAAAGUCAUGGUUAAGUGGGAAACGAUGUGGGAAGGCCCAGACAGCCAGGAUGUUGGCUUAGAAGCAGCCAUCAUUUAAAGAAAGCGUAAUAGCUCACUGGUCGAGUCGGCCUGCGCGGAAGAUGUAACGGGGCUAAACCAUGCACCGAAGCUGCGGCAGCGACGCUGAUGCGUUGUUGGGUAGGGGAGCGUUCUGUAAGCCUGUGAAGGUGUGCUGUGAGGCAUGCUGGAGGUAUCAGAAGUGCGAAUGCUGACAUAAGUAACGAUAAAGCGGGUGAAAAGCCCGCUCGCCGGAAGACCAAGGGUUCCUGUCCAACGUUAAUCGGGGCAGGGUGAGUCGACCCCUAAGGCGAGGCCGAAAGGCGUAGUCGAUGGGAAACAGGUUAAUAUUCCUGUACUUGGUGUUACUGCGAAGGGGGGACGGAGAAGGCUAUGUUGGCCGGGCGACGGUUGUCCCGGUUUAAGCGUGUAGGCUGGUUUUCCAGGCAAAUCCGGAAAAUCAAGGCUGAGGCGUGAUGACGAGGCACUACGGUGCUGAAGCAACAAAUGCCCUGCUUCCAGGAAAAGCCUCUAAGCAUCAGGUAACAUCAAAUCGUACCCCAAACCGACACAGGUGGUCAGGUAGAGAAUACCAAGGCGCUUGAGAGAACUCGGGUGAAGGAACUAGGCAAAAUGGUGCCGUAACUUCGGGAGAAGGCACGCUGAUAUGUAGGUGAAGUCCCUCGCGGAUGGAGCUGAAAUCAGUCGAAGAUACCAGCUGGCUGCAACUGUUUAUUAAAAACACAGCACUGUGCAAACACGAAAGUGGACGUAUACGGUGUGACGCCUGCCCGGUGCCGGAAGGUUAAUUGAUGGGGUUAGCGCAAGCGAAGCUCUUGAUCGAAGCCCCGGUAAACGGCGGCCGUAACUAUAACGGUCCUAAGGUAGCGAAAUUCCUUGUCGGGUAAGUUCCGACCUGCACGAAUGGCGUAAUGAUGGCCAGGCUGUCUCCACCCGAGACUCAGUGAAAUUGAACUCGCUGUGAAGAUGCAGUGUACCCGCGGCAAGACGGAAAGACCCCGUGAACCUUUACUAUAGCUUGACACUGAACAUUGAGCCUUGAUGUGUAGGAUAGGUGGGAGGCUUUGAAGUGUGGACGCCAGUCUGCAUGGAGCCGACCUUGAAAUACCACCCUUUAAUGUUUGAUGUUCUAACGUUGACCCGUAAUCCGGGUUGCGGACAGUGUCUGGUGGGUAGUUUGACUGGGGCGGUCUCCUCCUAAAGAGUAACGGAGGAGCACGAAGGUUGGCUAAUCCUGGUCGGACAUCAGGAGGUUAGUGCAAUGGCAUAAGCCAGCUUGACUGCGAGCGUGACGGCGCGAGCAGGUGCGAAAGCAGGUCAUAGUGAUCCGGUGGUUCUGAAUGGAAGGGCCAUCGCUCAACGGAUAAAAGGUACUCCGGGGAUAACAGGCUGAUACCGCCCAAGAGUUCAUAUCGACGGCGGUGUUUGGCACCUCGAUGUCGGCUCAUCACAUCCUGGGGCUGAAGUAGGUCCCAAGGGUAUGGCUGUUCGCCAUUUAAAGUGGUACGCGAGCUGGGUUUAGAACGUCGUGAGACAGUUCGGUCCCUAUCUGCCGUGGGCGCUGGAGAACUGAGGGGGGCUGCUCCUAGUACGAGAGGACCGGAGUGGACGCAUCACUGGUGUUCGGGUUGUCAUGCCAAUGGCACUGCCCGGUAGCUAAAUGCGGAAGAGAUAAGUGCUGAAAGCAUCUAAGCACGAAACUUGCCCCGAGAUGAGUUCUCCCUGACUCCUUGAGAGUCCUGAAGGAACGUUGAAGACGACGACGUUGAUAGGCCGGGUGUGUAAGCGCAGCGAUGCGUUGAGCUAACCGGUACUAAUGAACCGUGAGGCUUAACCUUACAACGCCGAAGGUGUUU
rnacentral:rRNA from 1 species